rnacentral:lncRNA from 1 species
AAGAAGAGGGAGAUGAACUUGAAGAAAUUGUGUUUUUAAAUUUAAUUUCUUGUAGUCAAACAUGUUUUUUUCACUAUGCACACAAUUAAAUUUCUUGUAGUCAAACAUGUUCUUUUUUCACAAUGCACACAACAUGUUGACUUUGAGAUACAAAAUACUCUGUCCAUUUCAAAAUAGAUGUUUUUUUUUCUAUUUUUAUUUAUUU